rnacentral:rRNA from 1 species
GAUGAACGCUGGCGGCGUGCCUAAUACAUGCAAGUCGAGCGAACAGACGAGGAGCUUGCUCCUCUGACGUUAGCGGCGGACGGGUGAGUAACACGUGGAUAACCUACCUAUAAGACUGGGAUAACUUCGGGAAACCUGAGCUAAUACCGGAUAAUAUAUUGAACCGCAUGGUUCAAUAGUGAAAGACGGUUUUGCUGUCACUUAUAGAUGGAUCCGCGCCGCAUUAGCUAGUUGGUAAGGUAACGGCUUACCAAGGCGACGAUGCGUAGCCGACCUGAGAGGGUGAUCGGCCACACUGGAACUGAGACACGGUCCAGACUCCUACGGGAGGCAGCAGUAGGGAAUCUUCCGCAAUGGGCCAAAGCCUGACGGAGCAACGCCGCGUGAGUGAUGAAGGUCUUCGGAUCGUAAAACUCUGUUAUUAGGGAAGAACAAAUGUGUAAGUAACUAUGCACGUCUUGACGGUACCUAAUCAGAAAGCCACGGCUAACUACGUG